AACCGUGAACAGUGAAAUUUUCCGUAUUUCCGAAGAAAUACCCUUCGCCAUCACUUCCAACGACUAAAGAAUAUGAAGUAUACAUGAUACAUCUUCCAGAAAUCAUAAAUGUGAGGCAUGUGGAAAAUCAUGAAUGAUAAAGUCACAAGAAAAGAACAAAAAGAUAAUGAAAUGAUAAAAUAUUGUGAAAAUUACCUUCAAUCUAAUUAACUUUAAUCCUGUUACCCUCAUGUAAAAGGUAAAAAAAAGUGAAAGCAUUAAUAGCGUUUUCUUUUAGCUGGAACAACUCACCAAGAUCGGACAUUCUCGACUGCCAUUACACUGAAUCUGUUCCAUUUUCAAGAGGAGAAACAUGAACAAACAUUGCGUUAAAAACCUUUUCUUUUCCAAACUGAUCGCAAUGAAUAACGGACUCAGACGCGGCAACAUAUCAACGGUAUUAGACUAUUUAAUUUUAAAUUCUAUUACAUCCUCUUCCUCUUGCCUUAUCUCGUUGUCCACUAAAUGAAUUUAAAAACUUCAAAAGAUAGGGUAAAUGAAACACGACUUAAGAAACCCAUUAAAUAAAUACCAUUAUUAAAUAACACUUUUUUUUCCAAGAAAAAAAUUCCAAAGCCAUUCGUCUUCCGUAAACCACAGUGCCGACCCCUCCACCGUGAAGUGUCAAAGCAUCCGUAAAAAUAUCACACUGCUCAUGGAACUAAAUAAAGACAAAUAAAAAAAAAAGACUCGUCCGUCGAGCCGGAGUUGAACCAGCGACCUAUGGAUACCUCUUUUACGUAAGUGUAACACCUUUCUCUUUUAUUGUUACUCGUUUCUACAGUCCACCGCUCUACCAACUGAGCUAUCGACGGAUGAAAUCAUUCGCGAAUUCAUUGAUCAUAACCAGGUGAAAGAUUAUUAAAUAUUUCCUUGUUUUGCAGGUCAAUUUAACAGGAUGAGUUCGUAGCCUUUUAACAACGGAUGAAAAUCGUGCUCUAUCAAAUGGCCGUGCGAACGCAUUAGGCUACGUGAUACUGAAUAUGUUUUUUACGACUUGCUUCAUUCUGGAGCUGAAAUGCGAUCUCCGUCAGGUAAAUAUGAGAAUUUUCUUUCUAAUUGCACGUUCACGAUCUGUAAACUUUUUAUUAAAUUUUCCUUUUCUCGUUGUUUAAGAAAUUUUAUACCUGUAUCGCCAUAUUUUCUCUCGUCCACAUGUUUGACACCUUAGUCAAGCCAUUUUUCCUGCAGGACUGACUUUUUCAUCACGUCACCUGUAAAAUGAACAUCACGUUUCUAAGCUCACCUGUCGAUUUCCUACUGGUCGAUUCAUUUAUAAUUGCAAUAUAAUUUUCUCGGUAGACCAGCGAACCGGCAGUGAGUUCACAACCAUUUGCAGUCCAGUGCUCCAGUUGGAAAGGUAAAGCUAUGCAUCCAUUUUUUCAAUUCAUCCAUUUGCCACAGAAACGUACUAACAGAACUACGUAAUUUUGCAAUUGUUACAUCAAAGAAAUCACAGUUCGAUCACGUCGAUAAACUUGGAAAAAAUAUCAAAAAUGCUGCUGUUUACUUACGUGGUCGUUUGUCUUGCCAUCAUCAGCCCAAUUUUUUCUGCUGAAGUUGGAACUCCAUCAACUGUACCUCCAACGCGGGAUAUGUCUAAAGUUAAACAUUACGGAAUGUGUGGCCGACCGAUUUUUCCUAAUACGGAACUGUGCUCAUUGAAUGGAACAAAAACAGUUACGCUUUGGGCAUUCGAUAGCCAGGCUCUGAAAUGUGUAACGUUUCAAAAUUGCGGACGCUUUCCUCAUUCUUUGAAUUUUUUCCCUUCAGACGUGGCUUGCAAAAUAAUAUGUGAGCCUACGAGAUUGGCGCUGACACUCAAACCUUAAACUGAAACUAGAUGGACAAGCAUCACCAUGGACUGUCUUGUACUGCUAAAUGGACUAUAUGUCUUCUAGAAAAAGCUCCCCAAUUACGAGGAUUGACGUUUAAAAUUUACAGCCAGGAAUGUAGAAUUUAAAAAUUUUGAAUAGUUACUGACUUGGGGCACUUUACUGGAAAGCGUAUUGGAGUUAAUAAACUACUUUGCUAUCUUGCAAAUAGCUAUUCCUUCUGCCUACACAGUCUACUAGUGAUGAGAAAUAUCAAAUCGUAAUUUUCUCCUGAAAUCAAUUAAUAAUCGGAAAAUUUCAAACGAGAAAGUUAACUGGUGAAAAUAGUACUAUGCAUUACCUACUUGUGCAUAUUGUACUCAUUUCAGACGUUAAAAACGUUCAAACCAAAUUACCUUAAAAAGCUGAUGGGAAAUAAAAACGAUGAUAGAUGUUACUUACGCAUUAUGAAAUCUUCGGAUUAACCACUGCUUAAAUGUAAAGUUCUUGCGAUGAACAUUCUCGUAGAAUGCAGACAAGGUGGAAAUACAUCCCAUUUUAGCUGUAACGAGAUUUUCAACAAUACGAAUUUCAGAUCUGCCAUUACACGUCAGAACACGUCAACAUCUGCCCAGCAGACUAAACAUUGCCCGAUCGAAACUAUUCCGAUAAGGUUUUCCACAGCAUGAUGAUAUCAACAAAUCCUUGAGUAAACUGAUUCUACAAAAUAGAUAUUUAUCAAAGAUUUUACAAAAUCAGUGCCUCUAAUUUUUCUUCGGUUGUGACUGUUUCCCACAUUACUAUUCAACUCGUACUGAUGUACACGGCCUAAAAGGGAACUUAGUUUCACCUUGUUUCUGAAGGAAGGACUUGCAAAGACGGAUUUAAAUAAAAAUCUCUCCCUUCCCCUGCACGCCUGCACGACUGCACGUGUCCUAAAUAUUUUUGUGGACGUCACAGGGGUAAGGAAAUAGAAACGUGGCGUAAGUAACCACUCCUCCUAAAUGUACCUUGAAUUUUGCGUUUUAAAAUCCGCCUUUCUUGCGAAUUAUUCUGGCGCCCUUUCAAACAAAGAAACACAAUAGCUUUCAAGAUAACGCUAAAGGACAAGGCUGUAGCCUAACAUGAGUAACAUCACCUAGUGGCAUUUCCUUUUUCGAUAGAUAAAACACAAUGCAGACUCCCUCCGGCGUGAGAUGGCAAUGCAUCCGAAAAUAACCUUAGGGUCCUCAUGGCAUCGCUGACAAGGUGAGCAAAAAAAAAAAAUAAAAAAAAAAAUGGCUAUUCCGUCGAGCCGGAGUUGAACCAGCGACCUAUGGAUAUCUUUUUCAUGAAACAAAAUGCUAAAAGCAAUGCACACAAAAAAUAAUACCUGACCGAAAAAAAUUUUCCGUCGAGCCGGAGUUGAACCAGCGACCUAUGGAUAUCUCCCACAAGCACACCUGCUUGCUUUGUUUGUUUAAUUCUACAGUCCACCGCUCUACCAACUGAGCUAUCGACGGAUGUCAACUUGCCCACAUAUGAAGCUACACAUCAAGCAUAUGAGAAGCCAUGAACUUAAACAACAUUUUUAACGCAAUGGCACAAAUGAAUAAAAAUGAAAGCGUGUUA